CCUGCAUUGUACACACUGUGCAAAUCAAUUCUGGAAGCACAGCGCAUACAAUGUGGAUG
rnacentral:pre_miRNA from 1 species